AGUGAGAACCAGGCUUUCCACCCUUACCCCUUACGCGACUGUUUCAGACAGUGUCGUCCAACUUUAAGUUGGCCACUUACUCCAGCGCCGCUGGGAUAAUUCCUAAUGAUUCUCUGGGAAACAUUCAGAAUCCCCAGGCUGUUUCUGGAACAGUCUGGGGUGGUCAUUCUAGGUCCUCACGGAACCAGGGGUUUGGAAAGUGGGUGAAGCCAUGUGGGUUGCAGAGAAUCUGGCCCAGCCCCUCACCAGUCCCUGUGCUUGUUGUUUAUUCUUUAAUUAUUUGGAUAUCAACUCUGAUUUAAAACAUCAGUUUAACAUAUAGAUAAUGCUGGGACUACAGGCGCACACCACACCCAACUAAUUUCUUUUUCAGUUUUUAGUGGAGGUGGUGGGGGGGGGGUCUCCACCUCUGGAGGUCUCAGGCUGGUCUCGAACUCCUGGGCUCCAGCGAUGCUUCCCACCUCGGCCUCCCAAGGUGCUGGAAUGACAGGCCAGUCCAUGCAUCCCCGGAUGCAGCUCUCACCGGCAGUGCUGCUGCAGAGCCCUUUGUGGGCGUCUUCACUUCUCUUGAGUGUGAUACCUAGGAGUGGAAAUGCGAAUCAUAGGGCUGGACGAGCUUCAUGGUAUUAAAAACUGCCUGCUUUCCAAGGUGAUGCACACCGUUCGGCACUUCCACCAGCCCUGUUGGAGCGUCCAGUUGCUCUGCGCCCUCGCGUGGGCUCACUCCCUGAGCCCACUGUGGCUCCUCCAGACGCCCUCACUUCUACCCGGGCUCCCUAGACUCUUGCCUCUUUUAUAAAAGGUCAGAGGAUGUCACUCACGCUUUAACAUCCUCUGAAUAAAAGCCAAGUUCCUUUCAGUGGCCCGCAGAGUCCCACGCGACCUGCCCUGCUCUAAGCAAAUCCUACCCUGUCCCUGUUCCUCCUCGGCAGCCCCAUGGCCUCUGGCUUUCACCAGGCCUCACUUCAUUUUCCUCCACAGCCAGCAUCGCAGCAUGACAUACCACGGAGUCGUUUGUGUGUGUGUUGCCUACCUCCCCUCUCGGAAUGUAGCCUCCACGAGGACAGGGGCUUGUUUCCUGCAUGCUCUUCACUCGGGCUGGGCACUCUGGGGGGCUAACAAAUGGAAGAUCCUGUGAGCAGGGAAACCGUCAGAUGGCAUUAGGGGCCGGUGCCCUGCAGAAGACGAAAGGGAAACUUCAUGGACUGAGGCCAGGUCAUCUGCAGGGUGGUGUUCAAAUUCAUGGUACAAUGUCAGCAGGCGCCCAGAUGGGAAAAGAGAGGGACGUGCACCUGGGCACAAGAAGCUGCAGGGGCCCCUCCCAGGGCAGGCGAGAGCUUGGACAGUGGGGCACAGUGGGCAAGAGGCCAGUGGGGUG
rnacentral:lncRNA from 1 species